AGAGUUUGAUCAUGGCUCAGGACGAACGCUGGCGGCGUGCCUAAAACAUGCAAGUCGAACGGGGUCCAUCCUUCGGGAGAAGACCUAGUGGCGAACGGGUGAGUAACACGUGAGGAACCUGCCUCGAAGUUCGGGAUAAGCCAGGGAAACUUGGUCUAAUACCGGAUAUCUUCAUCGAAACUUAUGUCUUGGUGAAGAAAGUUUUUCGCUUCGAGAGGGUCUCGCGUCCUAUCAGCUUGUUGGUGGGGUAACGGCCUACCAAGGCUUCGACGGGUAGCUGGUCUGAGAGGAUGGUCAGCCACACUGGGACUGAGACACGGCCCAGACUCCUACGGGAGGCAGCAGUUAGGAAUCUUGCGCAAUGGGCGAAAGCCUGACGCAGCAACGCCGCGUGAGGGAUGAAGGCUCUCGGGUUGUAAACCUCUUUCAGCAGGAACGAAAUUGACGGUACCUGCAGAAGAAGCUCCGGCCAACUACGUGCCAGCAGCCGCGGUAAUACGUAGGGAGCAAGCGUUGUCCGGAUUUAUUGGGCGUAAAGAGCUCGUAGGCGGCUUAGAAAGUCAGGUGUGAAAACUCUGGGCUCAACCCAGAGACGCCACUUGAUACUUCUAUGGCUUGAGUUCGGUAGGGGACCAUGGAAUUCCUGGUGUAGCGGUGAAAUGCGCAGAUAUCAGGAGGAACACCGAUGGCGAAGGCAGUGGUCUGGGCCGAUACUGACGCUGAGGAGCGAAAGCGUGGGGAGCGAACAGGAUUAGAUACCCCCGUAGUCC
rnacentral:rRNA from 1 species